rnacentral:rRNA from 1 species
GACGAACGCUGGCGGCGUGGAUUAGGCAUGCAAGUCGAACGGUAUCAUCCUUUCGGGGGUGAGAGAGUGGCGAACUGGUGAGUAACACGUAGGUUAUCUACCCUCAAGACGGGGACAACCCAGGGAAACUUGGGCUAAUACCGGAUGUGAGCAACUUUUAGUUGUUUGAAAGGUGGCGUAAGCUGUCGCUUGGGGAUGAGCCUGCGUCCUAUUAGUUAGUUGGUGAGGUAACGGCUCACCUAGGCAAUGAUAGGUAGGCGGCCUUAACGGGUGGUCGCCCACACUGGGAUUGAGAUACGGCCCAGACUCCUACGGGAGGCAGCAGUCGAGAAUAGUCUACAAUGGUCGGAAGACUGAUAGUGCGACGCCGCGUGAACGAUGAAUCCCUUCGGGGUGUAAAGUUCUUUUAUAUGUGAGCAAUGCUUCCUAGGUGAAUAGUUUAGGGAGAGAGAUAUUAGCAUAUGAAUAAGCAACGGCUAACUCCGUGCCAGCAGCCGCGGUAAACUGU